AUGCAAGUCAACUUGACUUUAGAUAGCAAUAUCGAAAGUAGGGUGGCGCACGGGUGCGUAACGCGUAGGUAAUCUGCCCUGAGGUCUGACAUAACCCGUCGAAAGGCGGGCUAACAUCAGAUGAUAUAUAAUCACGACAUCGUGGAAAUAUCAAAUCUUCGGAGCCUUGGGAUGAGCCUGCGUCUGAUUAGGUAGUUGGCGGAGUAAUAGCCCACCAAGCCUACGAUCAGUAGCUGGUCUGAGAGGAUGAUCAGCCACACUGGAACUGAGACACGGUCCAGACUCCUACGGGAGGCAGCAGUAAGGAAUAUUGCUCAAUGGGGGAAACCCUGAAGCAGCAACGCCGCGUGAAGGAUGAAAUACUUUGUAUGUAAACUUCUGUAAGAUGGGAAAAAUAUUCUCCUCGGGAGAAUUGAUUGUACCAUCAGAGUAAGCCCCGGCUAACUACGUG
rnacentral:rRNA from 1 species